rnacentral:lncRNA from 1 species
AUGAUGAUGGUGGUGAUGUUGGGUCAUUGUCUUCAUGGGAGUCAGGGAAGGCUAACUGAUUCUUCAUCUCACCAUAUCUUACAUACAUAGAUAGAGAGAGAGAUACUAACAUAUAUGGAUCUUGAAAUUUUGUACUGUUUUUAGGUUUUUUGCCGCAUAUUUAUAGUGAUUUUUGAUGGGAGAGAGCUAUUAAGAGUUUCAUCAGCCAGCAUUAUUUUUAGAUCAGAUUUAAUGAGCGGUGGUAGAGCUCGAGAAUUUAGAUAAUGUUUUCAGAUAGUCAAGUCUAUUUGUUUAUUUAUUAAAGCCUAGGUUAACGUGUGGGCCAGAUAUGAAAUAGUAGUAUGCCUAGAAUUCAUAUUAUUGCACACUAAGGACGAUUAGUGUGAUAUUAAAUAAUUAGGCCCAGAAAAUGACAUUCGUUGUGAAGAGCUAUAAGCCAU